rnacentral:rRNA from 1 species
UAGUCCACGCCGUAAACGAUGUCUACUAGCCGUUGGGAGACUUGAUUUCUUAGUGGCGCAGCUAACGCACUAAGUAGACCGCCUGGGGAGUACGGCCGCAAGGUUAAAACUCGAAUGAAUUGACGGGGGCCCGCACAAGCGGUGGAGCAUGUGGUUUAAUUCGAUGCAACGCGAAGAACCUUACCAGGUCUUGACAUCCUGAAAACUUUCUAGAGAUAGAUUGGUGCCUUCGGGAAUUCAGUGACAGGUGCUGCAUGGCUGUCGUCAGCUCGUGUCGUGAGAUGUUGGGUUAAGUCCCGUAACGAGCGCAACCCUUGUCCUUAGUUGCCAGCACAUUAUGGUGGGAACUCUAAGGAGACUGCCGGUGACAAACCGGAGGAAGGUAAGGAUGACGUCAAGUCAGCAUGCCCCUUACGCUCUGGGCUACACACGUGCUACAAUGGUCGUGACAAAGAGUUGCUAGUCUGCGAAGGCAAGCCAAUCUCAUAAACGCGGCCUUAGUUCGG